UUGCUUUCUUAGUACACAUACUAAAUUUAGAACAGUACAGAGAUCAGCAUAGCACGUGCACAAGCAUGACACACACACAUUCACACAGUGCCAAUAGUUU
rnacentral:snRNA from 1 species